rnacentral:rRNA from 1 species
CCUACGGGCGGCAGCAGUGGGGGAUAUUGGACAAUGGGGGAAACCCUGAUCCAGCGACGCCGCGUGAGUGAAGAAGUAUUUCGGUAUGUAAAGCUCUGUCAGCAGGGAAGAAAGAAAUGACGGUACCUGACCAAGAAGCCCCGGCUAACUACGUGCCAGCAGCCGCGGUAAUACGUAGGGGGCAAGCGUUAUCCGGAAUUACUGGGUGUAAAGGAAGCGUAGACGGCAGCGCAAGUCUGGAGUGAAAUGCCGGGGCCCAACCCCGGAACUGCUCUGGAAACUGUGAAGCUGGAGUGCAGGAGAGGUAAGCGGAAUUCCUGGUGUAGCGGUGAAAUGCGUAGAUAUCAGGAGGAACACCGGCGGCGAAGGCGGCUUACUGGACUGUAACUGACGUUGAGGCUCGAAGGCGUGGGGAGCAAACAGGAUUAGAUACCCCAGUAGUC